rnacentral:rRNA from 1 species
UACAGAGGGUGCGAGCGUUGUCCGGAAUCACUGGGCGUAAAGGGCGCGUAGGUGGCGCGACAAGUCGGUGGUGAAAGUUCGACGCUCAACGUCGAAUCGGCCACCGAUACUGUUGGGCUUGAGCACUGUAGAGGCUAAUGGAAUUCCGGGUGUAGCGGUGGAAUGCGUAGAGAUCCGGAAGAACACCGGUGGCGAAGGCGGCUUGCUGGGCCAGUUCUGACGCUGAGGAGCGAAAGCGUGGGUAGCAAACAGG